CCUACGGGUGGCUGCAGUGGGGAAUCUUGGUCAAUGGGCGAAAGCCUGAACCAGCGACGCCGCGUGAGUGAUGAAGGCCUUCGGGUUGUAAAGCUCUGUGGGGCGAGACGAAAGCCUACGUUCUAACAGGACGUAGUUUGACGGUAUCGCCUUAGCAAGCACCGGCUAACUCUGUGCCAGCAGCCGCGGUAAGACAGAGGGUGCAAACGUUGCUCGGAAUCACUGGGCGUAAAGGGCGUGUAGGCGGGAAGGAAAGUCAGAUGUGAAAUCCCUGG
rnacentral:rRNA from 1 species